rnacentral:misc_RNA from 1 species
GAUGAAGAACGCAGCGAAAUGCGAUAAGUAAUGUGAAUUGCAGAAUUCAGUGAAUCAUCGAAUCUUUGAACGCACCUUGCGCUCGUUGGUAUUCCGACGAGCAUGCCUGUUUGAGUGUCAUUAAAUUCUCAACCUCAUCGCUUUUGUGAUGAUGGCUUGGAUGUGGAGGUUUUCUGCAGGCCGAAAGGUCUGCUCCUCUCAAAUGAAUUAGUGGGUGCCCCGCGCAAACCUAUCUAUUGGUGUGAUAAUUAUCUACGCCGUGGAUUUUAGGAUUGCUGUAAAAAGGUGUUUGCCCUGCUUCUAACCGUCUUCGGACAACUUGAACCAUUUGACCUCAAAUCAGGUAGGACUACCCGCUGAACUUAAGCAUAUCAAUAAGCGGAGGA